AGUGAACGCUGGCGGUAGGCCUAACACAUGCAAGUCGAACGGCAGCACAGGAGAGCUUGCUCUCUGGGUGGCGAGUGGCGGACGGGUGAGGAAUACAUCGGAAUCUACUCUGUCAUGGGGGAUAACGUAGGGAAACUUACGCUAAUACCGCAUACGACCUACGGGUGAAAGCAGGGGACCUUCGGGCCUUGCGCGAUUGAAUGAGCCGAUGUCGGAUUAGCUAGUUGGCGGGGUAAAGGCCCACCAAGGCGACGAUCCGUAGCUGGUCUGAGGGGAUGAUCAGCCGCACUGGAACUGAGACACGGUCCAGACUCCUACGGGAGGCAGCAGUGGGGAAUAUGGGACAAUGGGCGCAAGCCUGAUCCAGCCAUACCGCGUGGGUGAAGAAGGCCUUCGGGUUGUAAAGCCCUUUUGUUGGGAAAGAAAUCCAGCUGGCUAAUACCCGGUUGGGAUGACGGUACCCAAAGAAUAAGCACCGGCUAACUUCGUGCCAGCCGCCGCCGUAA
rnacentral:rRNA from 1 species